rnacentral:rRNA from 1 species
AACGUAGGAGACAAACGUUAUCCGGAGUUACUGGGCGUAAAGGGCGUGUAGGUGGUUUCGUAAGUCUGGCGUGAAAUUUUUCGGCUUAACCGGGAAAGGUCGUCGGAUACUGCGGAGCUAGAGGACGGUAGAGGCGUGUGGAAUUCCGGGUGUAGUGGUGAAAUGCGUAGAGAUCCGGAGGAACACCAGUGGCGAAGGCGGCAUCCUGGACCGGCAUUGACGCUGAGGCGCGAAAGCCAGGGGAGCAAACGGG